UCUCCGUAGGUGAACCUGCGGAGGGAUCAUUACUGAGUGAGGGUCUCCGGGCCCGACCUCCAACCCCAUGUUAACCGAACCCUGUUGCUUCGGGGGCGACCCCGCCGUGUCGGCGGUGGCGCUCCCGGUGGCCAAUUAUUAAACUCUGCAUCUCUUGCGUCGGAGUCUUAAAGAAAUUUAAACAAAACUUUCAACAACGGAUCUCUUGGUUCUGGCAUCGAUGAAGAACGCAGC
rnacentral:misc_RNA from 1 species